ensembl:snoRNA SNORA71 Small nucleolar RNA SNORA71
ACCUGCAUUCGAAAGUGAUUGUGGGCUACUCGUGCCCUGGUCAUUGAUAGUGCAGGGAGAACAAUUAUUGGAAGCGUUUCCCCGUGUUUGGAGGGCCCAUCCUGUCCCUUCCAAACUCUGGAGCUUUCAAACA